UCCCUGUCUCCCUUGGCUGACUCUCUUUUCGGACUCAGCCCGCCUGCACCCAGGUGAAAUAAACAGCCUUGUUGCUCACACAAAGCCUGUUUGGUGGUCUCUUCACACAAACGUGCAUGAAAUUUGGUGCCAUGACUCGGAUUGGGGUACCUCCCUUGGGAGAUCAAUCCCCAGUCCUCCUGCUGUUUGCUCCAUGAGAAAGAUCCACCUAGGACCUCAGGUCCUCAGACUGACCAGCCCAAGGAACAUCUCACCAAUUUCAAAUCUGGACCCCACUGAAAAUCGGACUGUUCAACUCAUCUGGCAGCCACUCCCAGAGCCCCUGGAACUCUGGCCCAAGCCUCUCUGACUGACUCCUUCCCAGAUCUUCUCGGCUUAGCAGCUGAAGACUGACACUGCCCAAUCGCCUUGGAAGCCCCCUAGACCAUCACGGACACCGAGCUUCGAGUAACUCUCACAGUGGAGGGAACGCGCAUGAAAAAAACAAACAAAAAAAUUUCUUUUGGUAGCAGAAUAAAAAAACAAAAAAAAGGACUUUUUCUUCUGGACUGAACUAUAUUUAAAUCUCAAAGGAUGGACAUCUCACAACCUUCGUACAGCAAGUACUGUGAGCUCACAGCACAGUCCAUCAAUCUUACAAGCAGUUCUAAUAGUUCCUGGAUUUGGAAUUUGAUGCAGAGCUUGAUGCAGGCUUUGUAUGAACAGAUGCUUAUAUAAAAGCUAAAAUAGGCCAGGCACAGUGGCUUACACCUGUAAUCACAGCAAUUUGGGAGGCCAAGGUGGGCGAAUCACUUGAGGUAAGGAGUUCAGGACAAGCCUGGCCAACAUGGUGAAACCCCCUCUCUACUAAAAAUACAAAAAUUAGCCGGGCGUACUGGCGUUUACCUAUAAUCCCAGCUCCUUG